rnacentral:rRNA from 1 species
GGUUAAGCGACUAAGCGUACACGGUGGAUGCCCUGGCAGUCAGAGGCGAUGAAGGGCGUGCUAAUCUGCGAUAAGCGCCGGUAAGGUGAUAUGAACCGUUAUAACCGGCGAUACCCGAAUGGGGAAACCCAGUGUGAUUCGUCACACUAUCAUUAACUGAAUCCAUAGGUUAAUGAGGCGAACCGGGGGAACUGAAACAUCUAAGUACCCCGAGGAAAAGAAAUCAACCGAGAUUCCCCCAGUAGCGGCGAGCGAACGGGGAGGAGCCCAGAGCCUGAAUCAGCAUGUGUGUUAGUGGAAGCGUCUGGAAAGGCGCGCGAUACAGGGUGACAGCCCCGUACACAAAAGCGCAUGUGUUGUGAGCUCGAUGAGUAGGGCGGGACACGUGGUAUCCUGUCUGAAUAUGGGGGGACCAUCCUCCAAGGCUAAAUACUCCUGACUGACCGAUAGUGAACCAGUACCGUGAGGGAAAGGCGAAAAGAACCCCGGCGAGGGGAGUGAAAAAGAACCUGAAACCGUGUACGUACAAGCAGUGGGAGCACCCUUUGGGGUGUGACUGCGUACCUUUUGUAUAAUGGGUCAGCGACUUAUAUUCUGUAGCAAG